AGGCAAGUGUGUCCUUUACCAUAAUACCCUUCUUAAUUUCUCUCACAUUAGAUCCUAUAUUUGCUUCUCUUUUUUUCUUUAAUUUUUUUCUCAGGUUCAAAUCCAAUCUUCCUUUGAUGCUUCGAUCUUUCUCCGCCAACAACAAUCACCGCCUCCCUCUCAUCUACUGUCGGAGGUCAGCACCGCCGCUGGAACAUGGUGGUUCGUCUCUCGGCCGCUCCACCAUCUUCAGAUCAAGUCUACCGUCAUCGAUCUGAACUUUGAACCACUUCAAAGAACCCCUACGUCCCUCUCAUCCGAUGCGGCAUUUCUCCACUAUGGGAUUGGGGAUAAGAGUACUAAAGGAGCUGCGACGUUGAACCUGAGAAGAGUUGGCUCCAUACUGUGAUGCAUGAUUUAAGAGUUGGCUCCAUUGUAAGUGAAGUAAACUCCCUGAUUUGUCGAUUUGGCAUUUUCAUUGAUGACUUUCUUAUGUGAUUUUCUUUGAUAUUUUUCUGCCCUUUAAGACUUUUGUAGUUUACCCUUGAAUUUUUGGUUAUAUUGUGUAGAUAUCUGCGAGAAUCCUUUUCUUGGGUUAUAUUGGUUAUAUUAUUCUUGGCUGUAUUAGUUUGGACUAGUCUGGUAUUUACUGAAUCAGUUGAAGGGAGCAUGUUUUACUGCAUCAUUUUUCCUAUUUAAUUUACUAAUAUGUAUGAAAUUUAAUGAAAUAGAUCCACUUGGAGGAUUCCUAUUAAGUGAGGCAGGGAAUAAACAGAAGCCGGUGCACGUUAUGAGUGUAGGUGCUCUAUAGAUCUUAAAUCCCGUUCUUAAAACGGCAAAUUACAUAAGCCUAUGAUGAGUCUUCAUCCGUCGCUAUUUUUAGAGUCUUUUUAAUUAAGUUUUUAAUAUCAUUUUAUUAGUUUAAUGUUUAAUUUAGAGUCAUUUUAAAUAAAUUGCAAUUUUUGGUUUAUUGUGUCAAUUAGAUGUUUUUCUCUAUUAAAAUAAUAUUUUGUGUAGUUUUUAUUUUCUUGGUUCAACUAAACACAUUUAUGCUUGAGAACAAAUAUUAUUAAUAGGUGUUUUAGUGUAAUGGGUUGGUGUGAAUAGAAAACAAACCAAUGAAUGCCCAAGAAAAUGCAACAUGGUCUUAUGUUAAAGUGGCCCAAGAAGAUACAGGAGGAUCCAUUGCCUAUUGCAUAUAGGAAAAGCUGCGCAACGAGAGAAAGGGGAACACGCAGCAAAGCGGAUCACGCAUUAUAGAAGAAGAAACCAGGGAUUCCACACGCACUACAGGACGAGGAAAGGAUUGAAGCACAUCACAUACAGCAAGGACGGAAACGGAAGAGAAAUUGAAGAAGCAAAGGAAGGCAACGUGAAGAGCAAAGCAAUCCAUCUUGGGUUUAUUCCUUUUCAUCAUGCUUGUUUCUUUAAAUAUUAUGUCCAGCUAAAUUUCCAUGAUUGGUCCUUAGGGGAUUUUGAUUUCUAUUUCUCUUGAACGAUGUGAUUCUCAUUUGAAUUGAUAUAUGAAUUACGAAGUUAGUUUUUUUUUAUUAUUCCUUAUGCUUAAUGCUUUAUAUGAAUUAGCUACUUAUAUGAUGAAUUCAAUGAUUUAUUUUACUAUGACGAUAGGAAUGAAUCAUCAAUCUAGGAAUAAUUGAUCGAUUAACUUUCACUUAAGACAUUUCGGAUUGUUAAUUGAGAUUUUAUAGAUUAAAGUUUGUAAUCCUCAAUUGAUCAUAGAUUACCUAAGACAUUAGGAAUCGAUGAUCAAGGGAGAGGAUUAUGUUACCAAGACAUUGGGCAUAAUCAUUUUUGAUUUAAUCUAAUCGUGAAACUAAAUUGAGUAAAUUUGUAAUCAUACAUGAAAUUACCAAGAGAAGUAGUAAUUAGAUGAACCAAAAGGAUCAAUCACCUUUCUUCCAUUGAUUUGAAUCCCAAGUUAUUUCUAAGUUUAUGAUAAAAAUUCAAACCAAGUUAAACUCCCCCCCUUUGCAUUUUAAUUAUUAAUCCUAAAUUAAUUUAAUUGUUUUGUCGAGAUUGAAACAAUCCCUGCGGAUACGAACUUUAUAAAUUUUAUUACUUGACGACUAUUUAGUACACUUGCUAAAUCUCUAUCAAGUUUUUGGCGCCGUUGCCGGGGAUUGUUGAUUAAUUUUGACAUGCCAAUUUAUUUUACUUAGGAUUUUUUUUCCUGUUAUUUUCAUUUUAUUUUUGUAUAUAUGCAAUUUUCUCUUUAUGUCUUCUUUAGUUUAUUUUGCUACUAAAAACUUUCUCUAAGUUUUGUAGCAAUGAAAUGGAUUGAUAAUAGAUUGGCUGACUCCGAAGAAAUAGCUAUCAUUUGUUAUCAACUAUGUUUACUAUCUUAUGAGCAAGAGAGGUUGGAUGCAAAGAUUUCGAGAUUGAAGGCGAGAAGUGAUUUUUGUGGAGCGAAUCAUCACAAUGACUAUUGUGAGGAGUAUUGUUUGAAAGAAAAAGAGCGCGAAGUGAUCAACAUUGAUUACAACUUUGAACUCAAAAAGAUUUUGGAUGAAUUUUUGAGGUCAAAUCAAGGUUCAUUUGACGGAUUUGAAGUUGAGUGUGGUAAUCUUGUUGAAAAAGCAAAUGAGUGUGAGAAGUUGGUUGAGAUGGAGAUUAAACAUCAUGCUAUUGGAGAAGAAGAAAAAUUGAAAAACAAGAAGAAUGGCAUGAGAAGAGUGAAUCAUGUUGAUCUCUACGUGGCAUUUGAGUCUCAACCAAUGGAAUUUAAAGAGAGAAAUCAGUUGCAUAAAAAUUUUCAUUCUUCUCUAAGGUGGGAAAGUGCAAAUUCAAAGAGCUUAGUUGUUGGAAGAUGGGAACAGUUGCUUCUCUAUGCUAAGUUCGUGGAAUUCUUAACUAAUAAGCGGAAAAAGAAGGAUGAUGUGUUCUUUCUCUCAUUUAGGCCUCCCUAACAGUGGUUGAGGUGUCAAGCUAAUGACGUUAAAAAAGCGCUUCUUGGGAGGCAACCCAUGAUAGGUAACUCGGUCUUUAAUUUUCUUUUAAUUUCUGCAUUUUAUUAAGUAAUAAAAACCAUUGUUGAAUGAAUUUGUCACUACUCUAUCCUUAUCUGUUUGAGUUAAUAUUUUAUGUGUUACUUGAUUUUGAGCAUUUAACUAGAAUGUGCUUGUUAGUUUGUUCUCCAUCUAAGUAGUAACUGUCAACUUACAUAUCGAUUGCUCUUUGGUUAUAUUAGUUUGCUGAUGAUUUUUGAGGAAAUGAUUUUUGUUUGUUUAGCAUGAUUCCUAAUGGCUCUAAUUCUUCUCUGUUAUCCUAACUGUGAGGUCUUGAGCCUAAACACUUGAAUUUCUUUCUUGACUAUGUGAGUUCAACGUCUCUCCUAUUCUCGAGAACUUGCUUGAAUUCUCUUGAUUGAUUGAUUGCGAUGAAUAAUGCACCGAGGCACGUUUUUGUGAGCUUGAGCAUUUGUAGCCUACCCUUGAAUAUUAUAAUCCCUUGCUAGCCCCUUUGAGCCUUAUUGAAUGAAAAAUGUUUUGAUCUUGCUUCUUUUUGAAAACCACAUAAUUUUUACAAAAAAAAAAAAAGAUUUUCUUGAAGUUGAUCACCUAACUUGUGAUUUGAGCACAAUGCUCAUCAUUAAGUUUGGGGUUGCUCUUGGGAUUUGCAACCUAUUAAGUUUGGGGUGGGGUACUAGAGAACUAAAAGAAAAAUAUUUUGAAAAAGUUUGUGAAAAAAAAAAAAUGAAGAGAAUGUCCCUCAUGAAAAGAAAGGAAAUGGUGAAAGAAAUGAAAAAUAAAUAAAUAAAUAAAGAGAAUGCAAAAUGCAUAACACCAUGUUUGGAAAAAAAAUGAAUAAAAAAAAAUUGUCGAGGGACUUCUUUGUGAAAAAAAAUGUGAGCAUGGAAUGAGUUCACACAUUGUGAAUUCAUUUGCAUGAGAAAAAAAAAAUUUGUGAAAACUAAGUUCUCUAGUAUGAAUGUGAUGAUUUUUGGGAGAUCAAUUGAUUUGUCCACUUUUGUUUGAAAUAUGUGAUCUUAUAAGCUUCAAGUUUUUCUACCUAGUUUCCCAAAAAUAUCUACCCUUCAAUAAACCUAAGCCACGCUAUAACCCGAAAAGUCCUCGAAAGGUGCAUAUUCAUUGUAUGUCGAUCGAUUUUUAGAGUCCUUGCAAGCCUAUGGUAGAAAGGUGUAGAUUGUGUUGAUUGAGUGUAUGUCCGUAAACACUUGAGAGAAUUUUGGUGAGAUUGUGUGAAGAGAGAAUUGAGCUUGAUGGAUGAAUGUUGGAUGAAUUGUUUUGAAUUUCCGAUUGGUUGUUAGUAGAUGAAAGUGACCUUGAGCAUGAUAAUUUUUGUAAAAUGACAUGUUUUGUUCUUAUUGAUUACGGAGAUAGAUUAACAUGAAUGUUUGGUUGGGUGUUUGAGGUUGAGUUGCACUCUUUUGAAAGCAUUGUUCCUUGAGGACAAGCAACAGAUUAAGUUUGGGGUUGUGAUGAGUCUUCAUCCGUCGCUAUUUUUAGAGUCUUUUUAAUUAAGUUUUUAAUAUCAUUUUAUUAGUUUAAUGUUUAAUUUAGAGUCAUUUUAAAUAAAUUGCAAUUUUUGGUUUAUUGUGUCAAUUAGAUGUUUUUCUCUAUUAAAAUAAUAUUUUGUGUAGUUUUUAUUUUCUUGGUUCAACUAAACACAUUUAUGCUUGAGAACAAAUAUUAUUAAUAGGUGUUUUAGUGUAAUGGGUUGGUGUGAAUAGAAAACAAACCAAUGAAUGCCCAAGAAAAUGCAACAUGGUCUUAUGUUAAAGUGGCCCAAGAAGAUACAGGAGGAUCCAUUGCCUAUUGCAUAUAGGAAAAGCUGCGCAACGAGAGAAAGGGGAACACGCAGCAAAGCGGAUCACGCAUUAUAGAAGAAGAAACCAGGGAUUCCACACGCACUACAGGACGAGGAAAGGAUUGAAGCACAUCACAUACAGCAAGGACGGAAACGGAAGAGAAAUUGAAGAAGCAAAGGAAGGCAACGUGAAGAGCAAAGCAAUCCAUCUUGGGUUUAUUCCUUUUCAUCAUGCUUGUUUCUUUAAAUAUUAUGUCCAGCUAAAUUUCCAUGAUUGGUCCUUAGGGGAUUUUGAUUUCUAUUUCUCUUGAACGAUGUGAUUCUCAUUUGAAUUGAUAUAUGAAUUACGAAGUUAGUUUUUUU